rnacentral:rRNA from 1 species
GACGAACGCUGGCGGCGUGCUUAACACAUGCAAGUCGAACGGAAAUGCCCUGCUUUUGUGGGGUGCUCGAGUGGCGAACGGGUGAUUAACACGUGAGUAACCUGCCCUUGACUUUUGGAUAACUUCAGGAAACUGGGGCUAAUACCGGAUAGGAGCUCCUGCUGCAUGGUGGGGGUUGGAAAGUUUCGGCGGUUGGGGAUGGACUCGCGGCUUAUCAGCUUGUUGGUGGGGUAGUGGCUUACCAAGGCUUUGACGGGUAGCCGGCCUGAGAGGGUGACCGGCCACAUUGGGAAUGAGAUACGGCACAGACUCAUACGGGAGGCAGCAGUGGGGAAUAUUGCACAAUGGGCGGAAGCCUGAUGCAGCAACGCCGCGUGCGGGAUGAAGGCCUUCGGGUUGUAAACCGCUUUCGCCUGUGACGAAGCGUGAGUGACGGUAAUGGGUAAAGAAGCACCGGCUAACUACGUG